GAGAAGAAAAGGCAGUCGUAUUGAUAGUUUGAGGUGGAUGUCAUAACUGGGUUUCCGAGAGAUUUGGGGCUUUGUGGAUGUUUGUGCUGUUUAGGUUGCGUCAGUGUUUGCCUCGUAUGGAGAUGAAAGACAUGACAUUGUGACAAAUGUUGGUUUGUUGUGACAGAAAACUUUACCACUGUGGCACAUUCUGAAGAUGCGUCCUAACAACUGAUUUUGAAGAAAAGAGCGUCAAAGCUCUGUUAACCAUUUGAUCCAUUUUGGACAUGGACCAUACUGAUUUCCAUGACGUCUUAUUGGAAGGAUCUACUGCCAAUUGCGAACUCUUUUUUGUAAUAAUUCAGUUCUGUGACUAAAUAAAAGAGAAGAAA
rnacentral:sRNA from 1 species